rnacentral:lncRNA from 1 species
AGUCGGCCAAUUGGUGCCAAAGAGGGACAGAACUUUCUUUAUGUAUGCCACAACAGCAGCAAGAAUACUCAUUGCAAAGUAUUGGAAGACACAAGAUCUACCCACCUUGGAAGAAUGGCAGAUGAAGGUGAUGGACUAUAUGGAAUUGGCGGAAAUGACUGGCAGAAUCCGAGACCAGGGAGAAGAGUCGAUGGAGGAAGAUUGGAAAAAGUUUAAAGACUAUCUACAGAAAUAUUGUAAAAUUAAUGAAUGCUAGAAUGAUGUUGGAUAGAAACUAAGUGAACUUUAGCUGAAAGGUUACAAGGAAUAUGAAAAAAUGAAUUAUUAAUAUGUAAAAAUCUAAAACUACAAUACUUUAUGAUUAAUGAUUAGGAUACAUAAAGAGGGGAGGGAUUUGCUGAACGAAAUAAUUGAACUGGAAUGCAAAAAAGGGAGGUGUGAGGAGGUCCUGGAACUAAGCAAAUGAAGGUCAAGUAAUGGAAGGAAUGAAUUGUUUUUAAAUAUUUUUACUUUGUAUUUUCUUUUUGUGUGUGUGUGUUUUGUAAUAUUUUGAAAACUUCAAUAAAUAUCUUAUA